AGUAACGCGUGGGAACAUACCCAAAGGUACGGAAUAGCCUCGGGAAACUGGGAGUAAUACCGUAUGUGCUCGAAAGNGGAAAGAUUUAUCGCCUUUGGAUCGGCCCGCGUUGGAUUAGGGUAGUUGGUGGGGUAAAUGGCCUACCAAGCCGACGAUCCAUAGCUGGUUUGAGAGGAUGAUCAGCCACACUGGGACUGAGACACGGCCCAGACUCCUACGGGAGGCAGCAGUGGGGAAUCUUAGACAAUGGGCGCAAGCCUGAUCUAGCCAUGCCGCGUGAGCGAUGAAGGCCUUAGGGUUGUAAAGCUCUUUCAGUGGGGAAGAUAAUGACUGUACCCACAGAAGAAGCCCGGCUAACUCCGUG
rnacentral:rRNA from 1 species